GACGAACGCUGGCGGCGUGCUUAACACAUGCAAGUCGAACGGAAAGGCCCUGCUUGCAGGGUACUCGAGUGGCGAACGGGUGAGUAACACGUGGGUGAUCUGCCCUGCACUUCGGGAUAAGCCUGGGAAACUGGGUCUAAUACCGGAUAGGAGCCAUUUUUAGUGUGAUGGUUGGAAAGUUUUUUCGGUGUAGGAUGAGCUCGCGGCCUAUCAGCUUGUUGGUGGGGUAAUGGCCUACCAAGGCGGCGACGGGUAGCCGGCCGGAGAGGGUGGACGGCCACAUUGGGACUGAGAUACGGGCCAGACUCCUACGGGGGGCAGCAGUGGGGAAUAUUGCACAAUGGGCGCAAGGCUGAUGCAGCGACGCCGCGUGGGGGAUGACGGCCUUCGGGUUGUAAACGCCUUUCGCUAGGGACGAAGCUUUUUGUGACGGUACCUAGAUAAGAAGCACCGGCUAACUACGUG
rnacentral:rRNA from 1 species